UGUGGGGCCUCUUGUUCCUGCAGCCAGGGGAGUACAAAGUCCCAGUUGAAGAAAAAUACAAGGAAGUGAAGUGAGGAGUAAAGUUAGAAAAAAGUAUAGGCUGCCCAGUAGAUGAGCUGAGGGAAGGACUAGGCCAGAAUCAUGGAACAAAAUGAAGCAAGGGGAAGAAGAUUCUAGAUGGCAAGUGUUACAGGAACAGGGAAUAAAGGGAGGUUCAGAGCACGAGGGAAAAUGGUAAGUGAAAUAUACAAGGAGAUGCUCUUAAAGCUUUUUUUUUUCCUUUUUAGGUGGAGGCAAAAGGAAAUCAAGUGCCCUAAGGAAUUGGAAAUUAAUGAGAAACUAUAUGAAGGAUUGAAGGGGCCUAAGGGAGGAGGGGACUUUUAGGGUCUAGAUUGCUUAGAUAUCCAAGGGGGUGAUGAUUGAAGGGACAAGGACAGAAAAAUUAGUAUGGGUUGGUAGUCUGUGGAUGUUGGGAACCAAGAACGAAAAUUGGAUAGAUUCCAAUUUCCAAGAAAUUGGGAAUAGAUAGGAAAAGGGUCUAAGAUGGUUGUAGAUCAAGAAGGGCAGAAAGUGGAUGGGGAAUUCGGGCUAAAUAGGCUCCAGAAUAGUUUGAAGAAUAUAAAGGAGAGAAAAAAUGAAAGAAGAUAGGAGCAGAAGAGAAAAGGACUUUGGGGGUAUAACUAUACUGAUCAAAGGAGAUGGAAAUUUAGGAGGAAGCAAAGAAAUAAAGAGACAGGUGGAGGGAGAAAAAGUAACAAGAUAGGAUUGAAGAUCUAUAAAUGAAUGCAUCAAAAAUAAUGUGUAUUAUAUUUAGGAGCUGUAGUUUAGAGGGGCCCAGAUCUCCGAUGACAGAAAGAGAGGGACUGAGAGAAACAGGUAUGAAUUAGGAGAUUGAAGAUAGAAUGUGAUUUUGCUGUUUGUGGACCUGAUGAUACUGGGAGAUAGUUUUCUUCCAGAUUACUUCAUAGAACUGUGGGAAUUGACAGUGAACCUCGCCUUCCUUCUGGAGCCAUUUUUAAUUUUAGAAGGUCAGGCUCUCAUUCUACAAUUGAAGUUAAUCCAGCCUACUCCUUAAGGAAAUUCUCAGAGGACUGAGGAGAUAUAUUUACAGACUGGGACAAAUCCAGUGGACAGAGAACAGAAUGUUAAGAAGAUUGAAGACCAUUUGAUGUGGAGGUCAUAGGAACCAAGGAAGACCCAGGGACCUGCUGUGUUGAGAGAGGCUUUGAUGGAGCCGGCUUGUGGAUCCCUGCUCCGGAUUUUCCAGCUGUCCCUGUCCCUUGCUCAGAGCGCAGGAUGCUGAGAUGGCUCGGUGAUGCAGAAGCUCUCUCAUGAAAAUAACUGAAUGAAAAUGAGAAGACUGUUCCGGAUCUUCCCACUCCAUAUUGCUGAAGGUUAGAAAGAUGUUAUCUUCUAAUCAGAUCCUGGGUAAGCUUCCACCUG